rnacentral:lncRNA from 1 species
UGCCGGUGCAGUAUAACACUUUAUGUAAAAUAAAUUUCCUUUUAUUAUCCUUUUAUAGGUGGUGAAUAUCUUGUAUAAUUCUUCCAUAGCUGUUAAUUCUUCUCCGUCUUGGGUAUAUAUGGUGUUUAAUAGUCCGAUCUCAAAACAGGUUUUACUAGGCUUGGGUUAGUUUUGGGUAGUGCAAUUAGUUUGUUAUAUCCUUGUAAUUUUUGGGUUAUAUAGUUGGUGUUUGGUUCUUUGAUGUUUGUAGCUCUGGGGUUAUGGUUUAGAAAAGUUUGUACUCUGUAGAUAUUUUUAUUGGCUUACUAUAUACUAGAUUAUUCUUAAAUAAUAUGUUCUUCCGUCACUAUUAACAUGGUAAUCUGGAUACUUUUUCCCUUAAACAGCGCCUCUACUCUGGUUACUCCCCGCCACGGCUUCUUGCCUCAUUGGUUUCACCUUUAGGAUGGCAUAGUCCUUAGGGAUAUUUCUCCGUUUCCUCUUUGUUAAUAAACUUCUUAACAUAUUAUUCUUCGAAUAAUUCUACUAUAAAGUAACUAAUAUGAAUUUAUUUUAUCAUAUCAUGAUUGUUGGGAAUUAUGAAUUUAGCUAUUCAUAAUCAUAAAUAAAUAUACCUGUUCGGGUAGUUUUGAUAUUUCUGAAGUUUGUUCUUUCAUAGCUUUUUUCAUUGAAAUAUGUCUGUUUAAUUAACUGAGUAAAAUAUUUGUUGUGGAAUGGAGAGAGUGUUUGCUUCAACGCAUGAAGGCUUGCUUUGCAAUGCCUUCAGUUGCCUUUAUUUAUAGAAUGAAAAACUUUACAAUCUUCACACGUUUUUUUUUUUUUAAAUGUAAAACAACUACUAAAAAGUCAAAAAAGGAGGCUACUACCUAGCCUUUAAAUUUAAUACAAACCUACAAGCCUAAAAAUCUACAAUAAUUACAACCUUUACGUAAAGUCUAAAGACUUUGUACAAUAAUUCAAUAUCUUGUCUCCAUGGAUCUUGUCGUAUCUGCUAUAUCUCCAUUAUUGCUUCUUAUCCUAUCUUUCCAGCUGGCAUUUAAUCUUCUUUUAUUCUAGAUGUACUUCUGGAAUAAUGUUAUCUGCUCCAUUACAUCUUGAACAUUGGUGAUUUGGAUAUUUGUGUCCAAUUAUUUUACAAUAUCUUGUCAGUAGUCCGUCUGAAAUAAAUCCUUUUUUAAUUGCUCUUGUGGUAGAUUGUUUUUCUGGGUUGAGUAAUGUCAUUAUCCAUUGUCUGACAUCUUCCAUAUCUGCUUGUCGUAGCUCUUUUGAAUUAGAGUAAAUCAUUUUAUGAUCUCUCGAAUAAUAGCUCCAUAUUGGGUUUCCAUUAGUAUAAUUAUUUGUUAGUUCUUGGAUAAUCGUAGCUAGUCCAAUAAGUCGUUUGUUUGCGUAGAAGUCGGGUAUCUCAAUUCUGGGUAUCUCCGGUUGCUGUGUAAUAUCUUCUGGUAUGAUCAUAUCUCUAGUUAGUCCUAUCUUUACAACUUGUAUAACUGGUUUUAUUUCAUCAUAUAGUAUCUCUGCCGGUGCAGUAUAACACUUUAUAUAAAAUAAAUUUCCUUUCGUUAUCCUUUUGUAGGUGGUGAAUAUCUUGUAUAAUUCUUCCAUAGCUGUUAAUUCUUCUCCGUCUUGGGUAUAUAUGGUGUUUAAUAGUCCAUAGUCAAAACAGGUUUUUACUAGCUUGGGUUAGUUUUGGGUAGUGCAAUUAGUUUGUUAUAUCCUUGUAAUUUUUGGAUUAUAUAGUUGGUGUUUGGUUCUUUGAUGUUUGUAGCUCUGGGGUUAAGGUUUAGAAAAGUUUGUACUCUGUAUAUAUUUUCUAUGUAUUUCUGGGCGGUGUAGUUGUAAACUUUUUUAUCUUGGUUUAGGCUAUCUCGGUAUGUNN